CAUUAGCUGGCUGCUUCCUUCUACUCGCUUUUGUGCUUAGUUGAUUUUGUCAGGGCCUAGCUCCGUUCACUCAGAGUUUUGAUGAUGAACUCUGAACUGCCUUUAGUAUUUUCAGGCUUUAGUGUGAUUUACGGAAGAAUUUCUACAGGGUAAAGAUAACGUCCUCCCCUUAAUGAUUGGCAUACAUCCCUUUUUAUAGAGCUAGGUAUAUGGUACCUUUGAUUGUGAGCUGGCAGGAGGUGAAAGGAAUCAUUCUGUUAGAAUUUGAUUUCUCUCAGAUUUGGUGGGGACCAAAAUAUGAAUCCUUGAAAUUGUUGUGAGUCAUUUCGUGCUUUGUCUGUAGUGACGUAUUUUUAUCCGUUUGAAACUCGGGUGGUCCCCUCCAUUUGGUAUGACAUCAUCUUGUAAAUUCGACUUCUUCAUAUGUGAGUAUUCUCAUAGAUUUGUUUAUGUGCUAUGGUUUGAACUUGCUCUAACGUGUGUGGCUUAUGCUUUGGCUCAGGUUUAGUAUUGCAGGACUUGCUUUUUUGUUUGCAGCAUUUGGCAAUUACACUACUAUGUUUCACAUUACCAAUUCAUUGUGGAUAUGUUUGUCCUGUAUUAUUGGUUUGGGUGAUUGUUUGCUUUGAGUUCUGAAGAACACAUGAUGUGGUUGCUGAAUUAUUAUCACACAUACCACUACUUUUGAGCUGCCUCAUUGCAUUGCAGAGCUUUUGAUUUAGGUCUCCCAAGGACUGCAUAGGCUAGGUUUGUGGGCUUCACUGCAGGUUUCUGUAUUGCUUCGGUCACAGCUGGUGCGUUGGUGUGUACGCGACAUUGCAGUUUUGGUCGCAGCUUUGUUCGCGACGUUGAAGCUUGGGGAAUCAUGUGAAAACAUGGUUGAAACUUUGAUUUAAUUUGAAAAUGUUUUUUUUCAUCGAGUUGCAUUGGCUAUUUUGGUUGAUCGGAUUGAUUUGCUUCUGCAGGAUCUUGCUUGUUGCAGGUUGCACUUGGCUACAAUUUGGCGUCGCCGUGAUGUCAUUAUUUGCAGCUAGCUUGGUGUUACGGCCUUGCUUGCAGUUGGGAGUGUUGCCGCUAGCAACUUUGGUUCAUUUUACCGCUAUGUUGUUGUUUGGUUGUUCUGCAGUUUGAAGUUUGGCAUGGAAAGUGGUGUUCGUGUGUACUGCUUGUUGGAUUGCUUUGUUUGUAAAUAAAAUCUUGUUGUAAUUCACUUUCGUCCUACUUGAAACAAUCAUUUGGACUUGGGCUAUAUAAUGUGGAAUUGAAGUAUGGUUUUAAUUA